AGUGAACGCUGGCGGUAGGCCUAACACAUGCAAGUCGAACGGCAGCACAGUAAGAGCUUGCUCUUACGGGUGGCGAGUGGCGGACGGGUGAGGAAUACAUCGGAAUCUACUUUUUCGUGGGGGUUAACGUAGGGAAACUUACGCUAAUACCGCAUACGACCUACGGGUGAAAGCAGGGGAUCUUCGGACCUUGCGCGAUUGAAUGAGCCGAUGUCGGAUUAGCUAGUUGGCGGGGUAAAGGCCCACCAAGGCGACGAUCCGUAGCUGGUCUGGGAGGAUGAUCAGCCACACUGGAACUGGGACACGGUCCAGACUCCUACGGGAGGCAGCAGUGGGGAAUAUUGGACAAUGGGCGCAAGCCUGAUCCAGCCAUACCGCGUGGGUGAAGAAGGCCUUCGGGUUGUAAAGCCCUUUUGUUGGGAAAGAAAAGCAGCAGGUUAAUACCCCGCUGUUCUGACGGUACCCAAAGAAUAAGCACCGGCUAACUUCGUG
rnacentral:rRNA from 1 species